GACUUCAUCGCUUAGUGGUUAGAGCAGCUCGUUGUGGAUCAUCAGGCAAUGAUACCGAGCAGACGCGUGUUCGAUUCACGCUGAGGUCA